rnacentral:lncRNA from 1 species
GCUUGUGUAGGAUAACUAUAUAUUUCUUCAUAUAUAUAUAUAUAAAGUUUUCAAGUACUUCAUGCUGAGUAACUGAACUUCUUUGUCUAAGCAAGCAUUGAGUUUCACGUCAAAAGAUAUGAAGAAAAAAAAAGCUUUGUUGUAAAGCUAGUUUUAAUUCGUAGCCUGUUUGAUUCGAACAAGUAAGUCCGAGGGGUAUUCUAUACCUAGUGCCCUAAAAUCAUCUGGUUCGAAAGACAUUGACUAAAAACUCGCUACAUGGGUCAAACAGAAAGCUUAAGGGGUUAAGAUAUUCAAUAGCGGUAUAAUAUUAAAAAAAAUCUAAACAUUGAUCUCACAUCAAGUAACUGAGCCCCUUCGCCUAAAUAAGUGUUGUGGUUUGUGUCAAAAAGUGGACAAUGUGAAGAUAAUUUUUUAUAAUAAAUGAAGGAUGAAAGUAAUAAUAUACUUAUCCAUAUGAAGGUUAAUAAUUUGGAGAUAAAAGUAGGAGUAAUUUAGAAAAAGUUCAGAAAAAAUUUAGUGUUCUUAGUUUAACUUCCACAUUGAUUAGUAUUAAUACUCCAAUGACAUACCUCACUCAUGCUC